UAAUAAGUAGGUAAUAAUUGAUAUAUUCUUCAAGGAAAAUAUUUCAAUAAUAGGGCUAAAAAUUUUGAUAUUUUUUGUUUUCUAAAUUCCUUGUUCGAAUUCUAAGAAACAUACAACAUCGAAGAAGGUCUAUGGAAGCUAUCUGUAGAAAAAAAAAUUAAACCACUAUCUUAUUUAUCUUGGAAGAUACUGAAUUUUGAAAUUUUCGAUUUGUGACUUUUUACCCCAGUCUCCCCUACGUCAAAAUUGAUACCUUCUUUAAGGAAAAAUAUUUUAAAUCUUAAGUUGACUUAAAAUUUCAAUAUAUUUUUUUGUUUCCCCUUAUUCCUUGAUCAAAUUCCUUGAAACUUUGGAUGUUUAAGAAAGGUCAUAAGGGUAGGUAUUUAUCAUAAAGGUGUUUAUUGUGUUUAUUCUAUUACUGCGUGAAUAUCUAGAAAAAAAACAGCGACAUGUGGAGCACGACAGUGCCAUUAACUUUUUUGUACUAUAUAAAUAAAAAUUGUUGGGUAUAUAAGCAAUAGUCUCAUACAAGUCAUCAGACAUCGCAAAAUACUUUAAGUGAUAACAGUCAAUUUCACUGUGAAUUAAAUUCAGUCUUUCUGGUUUAUUCAAGUUCAUUUUAGUGCCAAGUACAGACGGCUAUAACAUGAUUAACAUAUUUAAAAUUACUUUAAUUCUAACGAUUUUUAUUGUGGUCGCAAAUGGAUCGCCUUACCGCGAUACUGACACUUACGAAAUUGUAGAAACACCUCAAUGCAGCUUAGUCUAUGGAGCGUGUAUGGAUCAAUGCCAUCCAAACGUACAAGCUGGUAAAACUGAUUGUCCAGAUGAUAAAAUAUGCUGUGUUCUGGUUUAAUUAUGGGCAAAUCCUGUACUACUAAUUUAUCAGUAAUUUAUUUUGAUUAAAAUAAAUUUUAAUAAAGAAUCAGUGCAUGUA